AAGUCGUAACAAGGUUUCCGUAGGUGAACCUGCGGAAGGAUCAUUCAUAAUCAAGUGUUUUUAUGGCACUUUAAAUCCAUAUCCACCUUGUGUGCAAUGUCAUCUCACUGGGGUCACGUUUGUAAAAUCUCGUGAUCCGUUUGGGAUUUAUAUCUACUCAGAACUUUAGUCAUUUUGUCUGAAACAUAUUAUGAAUAACUUAAUUCAAAAUACAACUUUCAACAACGGAUCUCUUGGCUCUC
rnacentral:misc_RNA from 1 species